GGAGGAAUAUUGGUCAAUGGGCGAGAGCCUGAACCAGCCAAGUAGCGUGCAGGACGACGGCCCUAUGGGUUGUAAACUGCUUUUGCGCGGGGAUAAAGUGCGCCACGUGUGGCUCAUUGCAGGUACCGCGCGAAUAAGGACCGGCUAAUUCCGUGCCAGCAGCCGCGGUAAUACGGAAGGUCCGGGCGUUAUCCGGAUUCAUUGGGUUUAAAGGGAGCGCAGGCCGCCCCUUAAGCGUGUUGUGAAAUGCCGCGGCUCAACCGUGGCACUGCAGCGCGAACUGGGGGGCUUGAGUGCGCGCAGCGCAGGCGGAACUCGUGGUGUAGCGGUGAAA
rnacentral:rRNA from 1 species